CCUACGGGCGGCAGCAGUGGGGAAUAUUGGACAAUGGGGGCAACCCUGAUCCAGCCAUGCCGCGUGUGUGAAGAAGUCCCUCGGGUUGUAAAGCACUUUCAGUGAGGAAGAACGCCUGGUGGUUAAUACCCAUCAGGAAAGACAUCACUCACAGAAGAAGCACCGGCUAACUCCGUGCCAGCAGCCGCGGUAAUACGGAGGGUGCGAGCGUUAAUCGGAAUUACUGGGCGUAAAGCGCGCGUAGGUGGCUUGAUAAGCCGGUUGUGAAAGCCCCGGGCUCAACCUGGGAACUGCAUCCGGAACUGUCAAGCUAGAGUGCAGGAGAGGAAGGUAGAAUUCCCGGUGUAGCGGUGAAAUGCGUAGAGAUCGGGAGGAAUACCAGUGGCGAAGGCGGCCUUCUGGACUGACACUGACACUGAGGUGCGAAAGCGUGGGUAGCAAACAGGAUUAGAUACCCUGGUAGUC
rnacentral:rRNA from 1 species